rnacentral:rRNA from 1 species
GACGAACGCUGGCGGCGUGCUUAACACAUGCAAGUCGAACGGAAAGGCCCUGCUUUUGUGGGUUGCUCGAGUGGCGAACGGGUGAGUAACACGUGAGUAACAUGCCCCUGACUUUGGGAUAACUUCAGGAAACUGGGGCUAAUACCGGAUAGGAGCUCCUGCUGCAUGGUGGGGGUUGGAAAGUUUCGGCGGUUGGGGAUGGACUCGCGGCUUAUCAGCUUGUUGGUGGGGUAGUGGCUUACCAAGGCUGUGACGGGUAGCCGGCCUGAGAGGGGGACCGGGCACAAGGGGCCUGAGAGAGGCACCAGACGGCAACGGGCGGCAACAGUGGGGAGUAUUGCACAGUGGGCCGGAGCCUGAGACGACAACCCCGCGAUCGUAAAGCCGGCCUUCUAGUUGUGAACCACUGUCUCAUGUAACAAGGCGUGAGUGACGGUAAUGGGUAAAAAAGCACCGGCUAACUACGUG